GACGAACGCUGGCGGCGUGCUUAACACAUGCAAGUCGAACGCGCCUGUCCUCUGGGUUUCUGGGGGGUGGGUGAGUGGCGAACGGGUGAGUCACACGUGAGUAACCUGCCCCCUUCUUCGGGAUAACGGUCUGAAAGGGCUGCUAAUACCGGGUAUUCACUGGUCUCCGCAUGGGGUCUGGUGGAAAGGUUGUUGUCUGGUGGGGGAUGGGCUCGCGGCCUAUCAGCUGGUUGGUGGGGUGAUGGCCCACCAAGGCUUUGACGGGUAGCCGGCCUGAGAGGGUGACCGGUCACAUUGGGACUGAGAUACGGCCCAGACUACUACGGGAGGCAGCAGUGGGGAAUAUUGCACAAUGGGCGGAAGCCUGAGGCAGCGACGCCGCGUGCGGGAUGGAGGCCUUCGGGUUGUGAACCUCUUUCGCCCGUGGUCAAGCCGCGACGUGGGUCGUGGUGAGGGUAGUGGGUAAAGAAGCGCCGGCUAACUACGUG
rnacentral:rRNA from 1 species